rnacentral:rRNA from 1 species
CGCGUAGGCGGCACCAUAAGUCAGCUGUGAAAGUCCUGUGCUUAACAUGGGAAGUGCAGUUGAUACUGUGGAGCUUGAGUACGGGAGAGGAAAGCGGAAUUCCCAGUGUAGCGGUGAAAUGCGUAGAUAUUGGGAGGAACACCAGUGGCGAAGGCGACUUUCUGGACCGUAACUGACGCUGAGGCGCGAAAGCGUGGGGAGCAAACAGGAUUAGAUACCCUGGUAGUCCACGCUGUAAACGAUGGAUACAAGGUGUAGGAGGUAUCGACCCCUUCUGUGCCGGAGCUAACGCAGUAAGUAUCCCGCCUGGGGAGUACGGCCGCAAGGUUGAA